AAGAAAACGCUAUGUAAAGUUGUCUUAAUAAUCGUUUACUGAAGAAGGCCUUUGGCCGAAAUAUUUAAUAAAAGAAUUCCAACAAAAGUUUUCGUCGUCCUGUUUGGUCUGUUUGUAAUGAUCGUGUUUACCUCCGCCCAAGUAGAGUUCGGUGCGGGGUCGGGGCUAUUGCUCGGAUUACCUAUUAUUUUGCUGCUUUUCCUAAUACCGCUGCUGACAUCAAACAACGGAGGGGGAUCGGGACGGACUACUUUUGUAUUUGGAAAUUUCUCCGCACCGUCGGGUGGGAAGUAAUCUUUAUGCUGGGCUGUGGACACAGCAUCAUCAUGGAGUUUUUGGUUAUUUCAUCACAAUAAAAACUACUCUCGAUAUGUCUUUGAAUUGAACAAAAUAGAAAUAUUCAUAAUAUAAAACGAGUCAAGGCCUUACUAGAUAUGCGUACCGCUCGUGGAACCAUUUCGCAUCGUGACCAUAACAAACAUUCUUAGCAGACGGACAGAAAAUAACUUGACAACCUGAAGAUGAAGUAUGUUUUACCCACCGGCAAUCCCCAUCUUAUCACAUAUUGCCAUUUUAUAUCUGUGUUAGCAAACACCCAAUGUGUUCGCUUGAUGAUAAUGUUCGCGUCUCCUCCGUUUAUUUAACACAACUCGUUAACUUGAAGUAAUCGAUGA